CCUGGCAGCCGCUCUUUCUGCCGCGAGUUAUCUAUGGUUGUAAAAGGAGCCGCGUGUGCAGAGAUAGAAAGAUAGAGAGGCGUUUCUGUAUUUCUGCAUACGAUGUUUCCGGGUUCAAUGUGUUGUCGAAAACUUUCAUGGCCGGAAUCACUUGGUGGUUGUUAGUUUUCUGAACUGUAUGGCCAUGUUCCAGAAGCAUUCUCUCCUGACGUUUCGCCCACAUCUAUGGCAGGCAUCCUCAGAGGUUGUGAGUCCAGGUCACUUGAUAUCAUGGACUUCAUGACAUGCGGGUGUGGAGAAGAGCAAACCACAGACCACUGACCACAAUGCAGCCUGAGCCCUGCCACAUGCACAGUGAAGGACCUUCUCACAGCAACACCAGAGGCACUCCAAGUGGUCAGCUAGUGGUCAAAGGACAUUUAGUAUAAUGCCAAGUUUUUAAUUUUGUGUUUUUAAAUACAUUACAACCGUACCCUCUGUUCACUUCUGAUACAAUAAAUAAAUACAGUAGAGUCUCGCUUAUCUAACAUAAACAGGCCGGCAGAACGUUGGAUAAGCAAAAAUGUUGGAUAAUAAGGAGGGAUUAAGGAAAAGCCUAUUAAACACCAAAUUACAUUAUGGUUUUACAAAUAAAGCACCAAAACAUCAUGUUUUACAACAAACUGACAGAAAAAGCAGUUCAAUACACGGUAACGUUAUGUAGUAAUUACCGAAACAUAAUUUAUUGUUUAUUUCCAGUAUUUAUAUUCCGACCUUCUUUCUCGCCCCGAAGGAGAUUCAGGGUGGAUUACAAUGAACACAUAUAUGGCAAACAUUCAAUGCCAACAGACAAACAACAUACAGUAUAGACAGAUACAGAGGCAUUUAACAUUUUUCCAGCUUCACAAUUCCGGCCACAGGGGUAGCUGUUGCUUCACUGUCCACUAGUGGCUGUACUUCCUCAUUUCUUUCCUCGUGUUUUGCUGGCAGUUUUAUGGUGUUGUAAAUGAGUUAAAUUAGCCUCCCCACAUAAAGCGUACCCAAAUUUCCCUACUUGACAGAUGCAACUGUCUUUCAGGGCUGCAUAGGUCAACAGCAAGCCAGGCUAUUUAAUGGUCAGGGGCUUAACCCGGCCCGGGCUUCGAACUCAUUACCUCUCAGUCAGUAGUGAUUUAUUGCAGCUGGUUACUAGCCAGCUGCGCCACAGCCCAGCCACAUGGCAACAUAAUUGAAAACAUUGACUACAAAAAAGUUUGCUACUAAAAGGCAGACUGCAUUGGAUAAUACAGAAUGUUGGAUGAACGAAGGUUGGAUAAGCGAGACUCUACUGAACUUGAUAUAAUAGUCCCCGAUAGAGUGAAGGAGAUGUGACGAUGAAUAAUCCUCCUUCUGCCAGCAAUAUAGAGGUCUCCAUGGUACAGAGAUGCAAAACCUUCAUAAAAUUCAUUCUCACGGAUAAAAAUGAUCAAUUUUUGCAAUUUCCUCCUUGGAACAAGAAGCUGUCAAGAACUGCACAGUUUUGGAGACAAUUUACAGUGUGGGUGUAUUCUGUUCAAAUGUGCAUGUUCUUUUCAUCUUAAAGUUGACUUUUGUGGACAAAAAAACUUUCUUGUUUUCCUAUUUCAGCAAUGUUUGUUUCCUAUGUCAAGCUGCCGCCUUGCGAGGAACAGCACGAAUCAUAUAUGGAGAGGGCUGCACGGCAAACCUUCCUUGCACCGGCCUCGUGCUGGGUUCCUUGGUUCCUUCCGGUUGCUGCAAUGUGAAUGCUUGAAGGAGAUUUGUGAGGAAAAGGAAAAGCUCCAUCUUUGCAAGGUUCUCCCCCAGACACAGACGCUGCCCUGGAGAAGGAAAAGCCAACCACUGAAUGACAAUAGAAACUUUCCCAAGAAAGAAUGUUGAAAAAUACCUUUUAAAUUAUUUUAACCACCAAGAACUCCUAAUGAGAAGAAUCCAAGAUUAAAAGAAUCUUGGGGCCGGGCUGUGGCGCAAGCUGGUUGGUAGCCAGCUGCAAUAAAUCACUAUGACCAAGAGGUCAUGAGUUUGAGCCCAUGUCGGAGUGAGCACCCAACCAUUAAAAUAAAAAAUAGCCCUGCUCAUUGUUGUCCUAAGCAACCUGAAUGAUAGUUGCAUCUAUCAAGUAGGAAAAUUUAGGUACCACUAUGUGGGUAGGCUUUUUAUUUAUUUUAUUUAUUUAUUUCGUGUGGGUAGGCUAAUUUAACUAAUUUACAACACCAUAAAAAUCGUCCAGCAGCGUUUGGAAUGAGGAAGUUGGUGUCACAGUGGGUGAUGAAGCAGCUGCUCCCCCUGCAGCCGGAAGCUGGAGAAGGUUAAAUUGCCUCUGUGUCUGUCUCUUUCUCUAUCUCUAUGUUCAUAUGGCAUUGAAUGUUUGCCUUAUAUGUGUGCAUUGUGACCUGCCCUGAGUCCUCUUCGAGGUGAGAAGGGAGGAAUAUAAAUAUGGGAAAUAAAUAAAAUAAAUAAUAAAUAAA